AUUGAACGCUGGCGGCAGGCCUAACACAUGCAAGUCGAGCGGAUGAUGGGAGCUUGCUCCUGGAUUCAGCGGCGGACGGGUGAGUAAUGCCUAGGAAUCUGCCUGGUAGUGGGGGACAACGUUUCGAAAGGAACGCUAAUACCGCAUACGUCCUACGGGAGAAAGCAGGGGACCUUCGGGCCUUGCGCUAUCAGAUGAGCCUAGGUCGGAUUAGCUUGUUGGUGAGGUAAUGGCUCACCAAGGCGACGAUCCGUAACUGGUCUGAGAGGAUGAUCAGUCACACUGGAACUGAGACACGGUCCAGACUCCUACGGGAGGCAGCAGUGGGGAAUAUUGGACAAUGGGCGAAAGCCUGAUCCAGCCAUGCCGCGUGUGUGAAGAAGGUCUUCGGAUUGUAAAGCACUUUAAGUUGGGAGGAAGGGUUGUAGAUUAAUACUCUGCAAUUUUGACGUUACCGACAGAAUAAGCACCGGCUAACUCUGUGCCAGCCGCCGCAGUAACAC
rnacentral:rRNA from 1 species